rnacentral:lncRNA from 1 species
GCGGGGAGAGAGGAGGAGUAAAGGCUGUUUACAAACUUGACGUACACACGCAGUCCUAUCCCUACGGUCCUGGAAUUGGGGGUUACUAUCUUGGAAUCUAGGGGCACUCCAGGCUCUGGGCUCAGACGGCUGGCUUCUGCCUACCCGAGCCUUAACCUUUCAAGGACCAGAAGGAUUCCAGAGCUCUUGCCCUAGGUCCUGGGGCAGCGAUGACUCACUGCAGCACCCCCUCCCACUUCGCCAAGCUGCCGUCUCCGCCCACCCCCAAACAAUCUCGACAGCGCAUUUCGGGAGCCACGGCUCCGGGCGCUUUGCUGGGGGCUAAAGGGGUUUAUCCCUUUCCUUGAAUCCCAGCAGGCUAGAACUACCCCCUCCCAGUCUUCAGGCUUGCCACGCUCUCCACCCGAUCCUUCCAUUGAAAGGCAGAGAAGGAAGGAUGUGCUUGGGAACUUUAAGACCCACGAACGACAGCGCACUGAUGGAGCAGCCCAGUGUCUGGGGCAAAGUCCUCGAGGUUCAUUCAUUCAGGAAGCCUCUGACCAGCCUUUACCAUGCGCUGAGUGAGAAGCUGAGGAUAAGGAAAGAGCAAGACCCCCAAGAAACCCUGAUGUCUGGCUGAAAGCCGAAGCAUGACGCAACUUUGCUAUAUUUCUCUCCAACAAGGAUUUGUAUAUUUUCGCUUUCUCCUCAAGUAACACCUGGACCUGCUCCUUUCCCUUCAAACGCUGAGGGCUCAGUCUCCAAGUUCCUUUAUGAAACAGGGUGUACCAUCAGAGACGCAGGAGACUUCAGAAAUGAAGAUGCAAAGACAACAGGGGAAACCAUAUAUGUUUAUGGACAGUCAUGCCAAAGUAUGAUUGGAAGACAAAAAGAUUUUUGGCCAAUUCACUGCUCACUAACAUCUCCAUCAAAGGGUAACUGGGUUGGGGCACCGGGUGUGGGAAGGAGAGGAAGGAAACGAGAAUCGGCAGUUUCCAUUACCUGCUAGCAACUCUGGAAAAACACACAUUGUAAAAUAAGAAUUCUUCAAAGACAACUUGAAGACAUCUGGGAAUUCUGAAGCCUGAAAAUUCCAUGAGUUCAUAGCAGUGUUCACUAAUUCCACUGAUCUAAAGACAAAAAGGAGAGUCAACUGCGUGCCCAAACUCAUUUCUGAUGAUUUCUUCCAUCCUAACUUUUCUGCCUCUCUGGGGGUGGUUAUGCCUGUGAAAAACAUUGAAGCUGUCAGGAACAGAGUCGGCUUUCAAGAUUGGAAUGUCAAAGUAGAGUCUUCUUUUCCUCAGACCAGAAGGGGCUUGGUUGGGUAAGAGUUUCCAGAUCUAAAUGGAGACAGGACUGGGAUAUAGGAGCUUGUACGGAUAAACAACACAAACACCUUGGGUAAGUGAUACACCAAGAGAGAUCAAAAUAGGGUAGGAACACGAUCCUAAAGCUAUGUGAGAUACGAAGCCAAGAGACCCUGUCUACAGGCUGAUAUGUAUUGCAACCAGAGGCCACCUACACUCAAGAAAAUUCUAAAUGAUGUAAUAGGUUGUGGACACUUUCUUGUAAAAAUGAUCGAUAUUUUUUUCUUAUAGGGAUAAAGCUUAAAAGCAUGGGAUGUAUCUCCAUUAGGAAAUAUGAAGUGAGUUGGUAUAUUACAGGUAGGUUAGACUGAGAUAAUUAUAAAACUGGGCUGAUUUUACAUAGAGAAGAACUUGAUUCCUAAAGGUGUUGAAGGACAAGAUGGGGACAGUUAUUGAAGUGUUCAGGUGCUGUCCUUUGUAGUCUGUAGCCUAUUAAAAUAAUACACAACUGAACACAGACCCAAGGAAAGGGGUUCUACUCAUCGCUAGAAUGUAAACUCUAAGAAGAUAAGGAUUUUGUCUGCUUCAUUUAUUACUGUAUUCCCAGCUCCUAAAAGAGUGUCCAGCACUUAGUAUCUGUUGGUAAGUACCUGUUGAAUUAAUUAACCAGUGAUGAGACUUUGGAAAGCAGCUAGUCCAUCUGUAAGAUUGUUUUCUCAUCUGUGAGAUGAGUCAGUUAGAUUAGAUGUUUUCUAAGCUUAUUCUAGUUUUAAAAUUGUAUAUUUCUAUAAGAAAUGAUAAAUGAAAAAUGUCCAUUCCUUUUUCAUCUCCAUCACCCAUCUCACAUCUUCCUUCAGUGCCUAUGUGAUCUGUUUGAGUAUAACCAGGUGUACAAAAGUACUAAGUGAUAUGAGAUGACUUCAGUAGUCCAGGGACUCUUUCUUCCCCCACUCUGUAAAGAGUUAUUUGCUUAAUUUAAUGUACAUUAUAAAAACAGAAUUUGUUUCUCAAUUUCAUUUAUACUCAUACUAUAGUUUACUUUUCACAUAAAUUUAAGGUACAAGGAAGUCAACUUAAAGAAAAUAUUUUAAGUAAAUUAUAAUGCAAGUUCUACACAGAUGUAGCGCAAACCACAAUGGUAGGACACAAGCAAUUGCUAUUUGAGAAAUAGGCCUCUUUGUCAGUACUUAUGGCACGUAUCUUAAAACCCGACUUUCACUAGUGCUCUCAAAGGAACUUAGUCACAAUUCAAGUGACCAUACCAUUUAGCUGAGGGCCCUUUAUUCCUGUUUAUGGUAAAAUAAUUGCCUUAGUUGUACUUUUAAAAAAUAUACUUUUUCUUCUUCUGACCGUAAUGGGCUAACUGCCAUUAAAGAGACCAUCUAUCAUAAACGAUUAGAGAACUGGAUAGAAUAUAUGAAGCCACUGUUUUUGGACAAUAGGCAGCACAAAACGAUGAUCCCUGAGAAAAAGGAAGGAAAUGAGGUGAUGCCUAUAAUUGCCCUGAUUUUUUGCCUGGAGAUACUGUCUGAACUGCUACUCUGGAAAGGAAAACUCAGGUGAAACAUGGGGCCUCACUAAGUAGAGGAGACAGGGUCAAUAUUGGGAAAGCUGAAAUGACUGGAAUUUGCAGGGCAGAAUAUGGGGAAGGAAGGAGCUAUGUAGGGAAAGAGCUCAAGAAAUACGCACAAAGGGGUCGGGUGCGGUGGCUCACGCCUGUAAUCCCAGCACUUUGGGAGGCCGAGGUGGGCAGGUUACUUGAGGCUAGGAGUUCAAGACCAGCCUGACCAACCUGGUGAAACUCUGUCUCUACUAAAAAUACAAAAAUUAACCGGGCAUGGCCGGAUGCGGUGGCUCCUGCCUGUAAUCCCAGCACUUUGGGAGGCCGAAGCGGGUGGAUCACAAGAUCAGGAAUUCGAGACCAGCCUGACCAACAUGGUGAAACCCUUUCUCUACUAAAAAUACAAAUAUUAGCUGGGUGUGGUGGUGCAUGCCUGUAAUUCUAGCUACUCAGGAGGCUGAGGCAGGAGAAUCGCUUGAACCCAGAAGGCGGAGGUUGCAGUGAGCCAAGACCGUGCCACUACACUCCAGCCUGAGAGACAGAGCAAAACUCCAUCUCAAAAAAAAAAAAAAAAAAAAAAAAUUAGUCAGGCAUGGUGGCAGGCACCUGUAAUCCCAGCUACUCAUAGGCUGAGGCACAAGAAUCACUUGAACCCAGGUGGCAGAAGUCACAGUGAGUGAAGAUCGCACCACUGCAUUUCCAGCCUGAGUGACAAAGUGAGAGACUGUCUCAAAAAUAAAAAUAAAAAUAAAAGAAUAUGCAAAGGAUGUUCUUGAGUUUUUGGCUGAUUAUGAAACUAUAUAGGGUAAGACUCCACAAGUGAAAGAACAGUACUUGGAAAGACAAUUACUGAAGAACUAUAAACUGAACAACUACCAGAUCUCCUCCUGAACUGAAAUAUAUUCAAGUUCCAGCCAAAGUCGAGACACACAAUUGAAUUUAUGCAUCAUUUAGUAGAGACCCCAAAAUAUUCAUGCCUCAGUAGUAAUGCAAAAUUGUCCCUACAAUAAAAACUACAGUAGCUCCCCCUUAUCCAUAGUCUUACUUCCUGGAGCUUCAGUUACCCACAGUCAACUUCAGUCCAAAAAUAUUCAAUGGAAAAUCUCAGAAAUAAGCAAUUCAUAAAUUUUAAAUUGUACACUGUUCUGAGUAGCAUAACGAAAUUUCAAGCCAGCCCACUCUGUCCCACCCAGAACAUGAAUCAUCCCUUUGUCCAGUAUAUGCUACCCUCCCAUUGGUCACUUAGGUUAUCAGAAUGACUGUGGCAGUAUCGCAGUGCUUAUACACAAGUAACCGUUGUUUCGUUUAAUAACAGCCCCCACAUGCAAGAAUAGCAAUGCUGGCAAUUUGGAUAAGCCAAAGAGAAGCCACAAAGUACUUCAAGUAAAAAUGUGAAAGUUCUUGACUUAACAAGGAAAAAAAAGUCAUGCUGAGGCAGCUGAGAUCUACAGUAAGAACACAUCUUCUAUCCUUGGAAUUGUGAAGAAGGAAAAAGAUAUUUGCUAGUUUUGCUGUUGCACCUCAAACUGCAAAAGUUACCACCACGGUUCAUGCAAAGUGCUUAGUUAAGAUGGAAAAGGAGUUACAUUUGUGGGUGCAAGACAUGAACAGAGAGGCAUUCCAAUCAAUAGCAAUCAGGUUCAGGGGGUACCUUCCUCAGUUUCAGGCAUCCACAGGGGGUCUUGGAAAGUAUUCCCCAUGGAGGGGGGCGGGGAGGGCUACUGUACUCCAUACUUGUUCUAAUAAAACUUUUUAGAAAUCUCAAAAAGAUUAAGCUAAUCUACAUGAAAUUUAAAUGCUUGCUAGAACAAAGCACAAUGCUCUUUAAGGGAGCAAAACUAAAUCCAGACAAUCAAUACUGUAACACAAUGUUUAGCAACAUGCAAUAAAAAAAUUACUAGACACACAAGAAAUUAAGAAAAAACGUCCUUUCCAUGACCAGGAGAAAAAUGCAUCAACAGAAAGAGACCCAGAAGUGAGAGAGAUGAUAAAAAUUAGUGGACAAGGACUUUCAAACAGCUAUCAGUAGUUUAAGUAUGUGUAUAAAAACAUAAAUGCAAUGAGAGAAAUGGGAACUGUAAAAAAGAACUUAGUGAAACUUCUGAAGCAGAAAAAUAUAAUAUCCGAAGUGAAAAAAUUCACUAGAUAGUUGCAAUAACAGUUUGAUAUUGCAGAAGAAAAAGGUCAGUGAGCUUGAAUAGAACAGAGAGGAAAGUAUAGUCUUUUCAACCAUUAGUGCUGUAACAAUCAGACUGUAUUGAAAAAGACUAACUUUGGUUCCUACCCCUUACCACACGCAAAAAGUAAACUAGACACAGAUCACGGAACUAAAUGUAAAACCUAAAACAAUAAAAUUUUAUGGCCUGGCCAUAAUGGAUUUCUUAGACCAUAAAAAGUACUAACCAAAAAAGACCAAAUUGUUAGAUUUCCUCAAAAGCAAAAACUUUUGCUACUGACAAAGCACCAAUAAAAAAUAAGUCAAGUCAAAGAUUGAAAGAAAAUAUUCACAGUGAACAUCAUAGAGUUGUAUCUGGACUAUAAGAAGAACUUUUAUGACUCAAUAAUAUAAAGACAACUACAUUUUUAAGAGGAGCAAAAGAUUUGAACAUACACUUCACAGAAGAAUAUAAGGGUCAGUAAACACUAAAAGAUACUCAACAUCAUAGUCACCAUAGAAACGCAAUUUUAAACCACAAUGAGAUACCACUACACACCUACUAAAAUAGCUAAAAUGUAAAAAGGCAGAUAUUACCAAGAUUUGGAGAGGUUUUAGGAGUACUGGAAAUGUCAUACAUGGGUAGUGAGAGUGUAAAAUAGUAUAAACAUCUUAGAACACAAUUUGGUAGUUUCUUAUAAAGUUAAAGACAUGCUUAUCAUAUAACUCACCAACCCCUUUUCUAGGUAUCAGCCCAAGAAAAAUAAAAAACAUAUGUCUGCUACACAGACUGCUUGUCUACCUAUGUAUCAACACUUGUUGAACAUAAUGUGAAUGAAUCUCAAAAAUAUUUUGCUGAGUAAAAGUGCCCAAUCCCCAAAAACUACACAUCAUAUGACUCAAUUUGUUUGAAGAUCUAAAACAGAUUUUAUGGUGUUAUUAUUGAGAUUCAUAUAAUACAGCCUAUUCAAUUGGACAAUUGGAAUAUUGUUAUACACAGUUAAUCAACAGACUCUGUAUAAGUGAUAAGGCCUCAGAGAAGAAGAAUAUUAGAGCUCAACUCCAGCACGAUGAGUCGUUAACACCCUUGGGAAUGUAUAGCUGUUAAACAAAACAAGGAGACCAUAUUGCCCUGUGAAUUCAAAGGGAUCUAAUGGGAAUUUCAGAGUAAAUUUAUUUUAAGGUAUGUAGGAAGCCUAAUCAUUUAAAGUGCUUUUUCUAUUCCGAAGCAACUCAUCCCACCACAUCUUUUCAUUUAGUACUGAUCAGUUUCCUUAAAAGAUUAGAAGGUGAAAUGAUGCACUCCAAAAAGAGUGAUCCUUCUUAAUAUUUUGCAUUUAAAACUCCUUUCACAGCCUCCUACGAAUCUGUAUUAGCUCUCCUGUCACAACUUAAUGUAUAUCUUUUGGCCUCAGAAAAUUUGGGGGUGUUUAGGAUGUUUGUUUUACACUAGUAAAACCUAUCUAAAAACAAGCAAAGUGCUCACCAAAAAUAGAAGGUACCAUCAAAGUGACAAAACAAUCAGGUAAUUGUGGGCAACUUAGAUGCUCAAGUCAGCAGGAGACAGGUUUAUAUCCUCAAACCUCGUAUACUGCUGUUCAAAAUAUUCAUUUAAAAAGUGAUGGUAAAUAAAUCCAACUUUUUAUAACUUUUUGCUGUUUACUCCCUCACGAGUGUGUCAACUUGAAGUCAGUGAUUAAUUUUGGAGUCAAGGUCCAAAUGCAAUUGCACCUGCCUGUAGAAAUAACAGUAAUAUUUCAUAGAAGUCUUUCUCACUUUUCACUGUCAUAUUUAGAAACCCCAAAUAGAACAUUGCAUUAAAACUAAGUGAAACUGCAAAUGACUUUUAUGAAAGAGGAUAACAUUUUUAGCAGUGACUUUUUUGACUUGGGAAGACUGGGAGUUUGAAUACUGUGCUGUGUACACUAGCUCUUUCCAUGACACCAACUCUUGUUAGCUGCCUACAUUUGUCCCAGUAAUAAUAGCAACCACAACUACAACUAACGUUUAUUUGUUGUUGUCAAUGUUGGCAUGGAUAUGGAGAAAAGGUUACACAUAUACAUUGCUGGUGGGAAUGUAAAUUAGUUCAACCUCUAUGGAAAACAGUAUGGAGAUUUCUCAAAGAACUAAAAAUAGAACUACUAUUUGAUGCAGCAAUCCCACUACUGGGUAUCUACCCAAAGGUAAAGAAAUUAUUAUAUCAAAAAGACACCUGAACUUGUAUGUUCAUCACAGCAUUACUUAUAAUAGCAAACAACCUAUGUGUUCAUCAAUGGUUGACUAGAUAAAGAAAAUAGGGUAUGUGUGUAUGUAUGUG